CAGGAGAGCGCGCAUGGAUGCGCGCGAAAGGCGGGGUGGAACAGGGAUGUGCCAUCCCCGCCGGUCCGUCAGGCAGACGAA
rfam:Pantoea sp. At-9b plasmid pPAT9B01, complete sequence.